UACAGAGGUCCCAAGCGUUGUUCGGAUUCAUUGGGCGUAAAGGGUGCGUAGGCGGCGCGGUAAGUCGGAUGUGAAAUCUCGGAGCUUAACUUCGAAACUGCAUUCGAUACUGCCGUGCUUGGGGACUGGAGAGGAGACUGGAAUUUACGGUGUAGCGGUGAAAUGCGUAGAUAUCGUAAGGAAGACCAGUGGCGAAGGCGGGUCUCUGGACAGUUCCUGACGCUGAGGCACGAAAGCGUGGGGAGCAAACAGG
rnacentral:rRNA from 1 species